rnacentral:misc_RNA from 1 species
UGUGGCUCAUUGUUGAGUUUCGGCCAUUGUGAUCCUUGGUGUUUGGAAGUGUUGCCGUGAGACCCUUGUCAGUUGAAAGUGUUGCCGUGAGCACCAUUGCUGCUUUUUGAGUGGUUCGGCCAUUAUUGUGUUUGGGGGUAUAACCUUGUUGCCGUAGCACAUUUGGGUUGUUGGCAUUGCCAACUUUGUGAACGUGAGGUUCAUUGUGGUCUUUGGUGACUUGGUGGGCGUAAACUUCCUAGGAACACUUGGAGUUUGGGAUUGCAAGCUUGUUGUUGCCGUGAGGUUCACUUUGAG